UCUGGACAGCAUCAGGGCAGAUUUAAAAGCCAAGACUAUAACAGGGUUCAAAAAAAGAGCUAAAACAAUUAAUGGAGGACAUGCUCUGAGCCAGGAUGGAUAGGGAUGGUGUCCCUAGUCUCUGUUUGCCAGGAUCUGGGAAUAAGUGACAGGGGAUAGAUCACUU